ensembl:lncRNA novel transcript
AGCUGUGGGAGGUUUCAGGUGCUUUCAUUUUCAAAAGAAGUCAAGCACAUAUUAUGCUUGGAACAAGCCUAGCUUUCUAAUGAAAAGAGACUGCAACUGAAUCAUCAAACAAAUAUAAACAAAUAGAUCAAUAAAUGUGCAUGCAUACACGUGUUCACAGAGGACAAUUUGAAGGUGAAACAUGAAAUGAGAGCGCGCACGGAGGUGCCAGCCAUGAGAUGUGCAGAGGCCAAGAGCGCAGGGCCAGGGUCAGGAGGAUGUGCAGUGGAGCCGGGUAAAUGUUACUGCCGCGCCCUAAGAAACGGGGAGGGGAGGGGGCAGGUCUGGAACCACCUAGGAGGCAGAUUUGGCUGAUUUGUUUCAGGAAUCCUUUCUGCCUUGUGAUUUAGGAGUUAACGUUUCCUUCUCCUCUUUCUGCUCCUCCUUCCUCCAAUAAAGUGCGUGACCUUCAUCAGUGCACACACAGGUGGCACUGGCUCAGGGCCCAUCGAGGGCCAGUGUCCUGGGCCCUGCCAGGGCAUGUCUGU